rnacentral:rRNA from 1 species
AUGUAUCAAUCUUAUUGCCUACAUGUUUUAUUUGCUCCCAUGUUCACUUCUGUGCGGAUCCACAUCCAAGUUGAGGAGGCGCGGCCAAGGCCUGGAGGAAAGGCAUGUUGUCCCCGUCGCCAAACUGGGAGCUCUACGCUUUGGUGGUUCUCGCUUCAGACAUGGGAGAAGCACGUCGUGGGUGAAGAAGUUUGCAAUGGAUCAACCUUGAAGACACUUGGAACAUUUGCUCGGGCGAUGACACUCGGCGGCGCACUCGCCACUGCCAAGCUGGUCAGGUCGUUCAUGCUCGACCUCGCCGAUUGUUGA